rnacentral:rRNA from 1 species
GAAAGUAAGCAAGGGCAGACGGUGGAUGCCUUGGCUCUCGGAGGCGACGAAGGACGUGAUAAGCUGCGAAAAGCCCGGGGGAGGCGCAAAUAGCCGUUGAUCCCGGGAUAUCCGAAUGGGGCAACCCGGCAGGCUGAAGGCCUGUCAUCCCGAAAGGGAGGCGAACGUGGGGAACUGAAACAUCUAAGUACCCAUAGGAGGAGAAAAUAAACAAUGAUUCCGUAAGUAGUGGCGAGCGAACACGGAAGAGCCCAAACCCAUGUCGUCUAGGCGACACGGGGGUUGUAGGACCACGACGUGGCAAGAAGGAAGGGAAAUGGAACGCCUUGGAAAAGUCGGCCAUAGACGGUGAAAGCCCGGUACAUGACUCCCUUACGAAGCCUAGUGGUAUCCUGAGUAGCGCGGGGCACGAGAAAUCUUGCGUGAAGCAGCGGGGCCCAUCCCGUAAGGCUAAAUACUCCCGAGAGACCGAUAGCGAACCAGUACCGUGAGGGAAAGGUGAAAAGAACCCCGAGCAGGGGAGUGAAAUAGACCCUGAACCCGUCUGCCUACAAGCGGUCGGAGCGUCGUAAUGACGUGACGGCGUGCCUUUUGCAUAAUGAACCUACGAGUUACCUUCCCCGGCAAGGUUAAGUACCUAAGGUACGGAGCCGAAGCGAAAGCGAGUCUGAACAGGGCGCCAAGUCGGGGGGGGUAGACGCGAAACCGAGUGAUCUACCCUUGGCCAGGUUGAAGGUUGGGUAACACCAACUGGAGGACCGGAUGGGUAAGCGUUGAAAAGCUUUCCAAUGAGCUGAGGGUAGGGGUGAAAGGCUAAUCAAACUCGGAGAUAGCUCGUACUCCCCGAAAUGCAUUUAGGUGCAGCCUCUUUAUAGUAUAUCGUGAGGUAGAGCGACUGAUUGGAUGCGAGGGCUUCACCGCCUAUCAAGUCCAGAUAAACUCCGAAUGCGCGAUAUAUAUUUACAGGGAGUGAGGGCGCGGGUGCUAAGGUCCGUGUCCGAGAGGAGAAGAAUCCAGACCACCGGCUAAGGCCCCCAAAUGAUCGUUAAGUUGAACUAACGAGGUCGGAUCGCAGAGACAGCUAGGAUGUUGGCUUGGAAGCAGCCAUUCAUUUAAAGAGUGCGUAACAGCUCACUAGUCGAGCGAUCUGGCGUGGAUAAUAAUCGGGCAUAAACGAUCUGCCGAAGCCGUGGAUGUCGCAAGACAUGGUAGGGGAGCAUUCCAUGCCGCGUCGAAGAUGAGGGAUGACCCUUGUUGGAGCGCAUGGAAAAGCAAAUGUAGGUAUGAGUAACGAUAAGGGGGGCGAGAAACCCCCCCGCCGAAAGACCAAGGUUUCCUGAUCAACGCUAAUCGGAUCAGGGUGAGUCGGGACCUAAGGCAAAGCCGAACGGCGCCGCCGAUGGAAGAAUGGGUUAAUAUUCCCAUACUGCCUCAUGGAGUGACGUGGAGACGGAGAAGUGACAGUCCUGCCGGCUGACGGAAUAGCCGGUUGAAGGGUGUAGAUAUUGAUUCCCGUAGGCAAAUCCGCGGGGAGAGUCGAACCUGAGAGUAUACGGAGCGCUUGCGCAACGUAAUAUGGACGUAACCAUGCUCCCGAGAAAAUCCGCUAAACUUAUCCAUGCGGCACCCGUACCGUAAACGGACACACGUGGUCGGGUUGAGAAUACUGAGGCGCUCGAGUGAUUCACGGUUAAGGAACUAGGCAAAUUGACCCUGUAACUUCGGGAUAAAGGGUCCCCACUGCGAGGUGGGGCGCAGAGAAUCGGUCCAGGCAACUGUUUAACAAAAACACAGGGCUAUGCCAAAUUGAAAGAUGAAGUAUAUAGCCUGACACCUGCCCGGUGCUGGAAGGUUAAGAGGAGAUGUCAUCGCAAGAGAAGCAUUGAAUUGAAGCCCCAGUAAACGGCGGCCGUAACUAUAACGGUCCUAAGGUAGCGAAAUUCCUUGUCGGGUAAGUUCCGACCUGCACGAAUGGUGUAAUGAUCUGGACACUGUCUCAACCGUGAGCUCAGUGAAAUUGUAGUAUCGGUGAAGAUGCCGAUUACCCGCGAUGGGACGAAAAGACCCCGUGAACCUUUACUAUAGCUUAACAUUGAAUUUGGGUAAUUGAUGUGUAGGAUAGGCCGGAGGCUUUGAAGCAGGUACGCCAGUAUUUGUGGAGCCGCUGUUGAAAUACGGCCCUUUGGUUAUUUGAGUUCUAACUCGCUGUUGCGAGGACACUGUUUGGUGGGUAGUUUGACUGGGGUGGUCGCCUCCAAAAAUGUAACGGAGGCUUCUAAAGGUGCCCUCACGCCGAUUGGUAACCGGCGGCAGAGUGUAAUGGCAUAAGGGCGCUUGACUGGGAGACUUACAAGUCGAUCAGGUAGGAAACUAGAGCAUAGUGAUCCGGUGUUUCCGUAUGGAA